UACGAAGGGUGCAAGCGUUACUCGGAAUUACUGGGCGUAAAGCGUGCGUAGGUGGUUUGUUAAGUCUGAUGUGAAAGCCCGGGGCCAACCCCGGAAUUGCAUCUGAAACUGCCUCGCUAGAGUCCCGGGAGAGGAAGGCAGAAUUCCCGGUGUAGGGGUGAAAUCCGUAGAUAUCGGGAGGAAUACCAGCGGCGAAGGCGGCCUCUGGACGGUGACUGACGGCUGAGACGCGAAAGCGUGGGGAG
rnacentral:rRNA from 1 species